AACUUGCAGCAAUGUAUCUCGUGGCUCUCGCAUCGAUGAAGAAAGCAGCGAAAUGCGAAAAGUAAUGUGAAUUGCAGAAUUCAGUGAAUCAUCGAAUCUAUGAACGCACCUUGCGCCCUUUGGCAUUACGAAGGGUAUGCUCGUUUGAGUGUCAUUGUACUCUCACACUCCCGUUGCUUUUGGAUUGGGAGUGGUGGACUUGGGUGUUGCUGCUUUACUGUGGCUCACCUCAAAUGGAGUAGUGCAACUCUUGGUUGGACAUAGUACGGCGUGAUAAGUGUCUUCGCCGGCGCCUCAUUAGAGGGUGGCCGAUCGGGAGCUCUGUGCUUCAAACCGUCUUCGGACAACAUCUGACAACUUGACCUCAAAUCGAGUAGGACUACCCGCUGAACUUAAGCAUAUCAAUAAGCGGAGGCU
rnacentral:misc_RNA from 1 species